rnacentral:lncRNA from 1 species
CUGGAGCUACAACAGCGAACUUGUAAUUUCUGACUUGUUAAACUAGCAAAAUGACUACCACUUUCUAUCGAUAUUCACCAAUCAAAACGCCUUAAAUGACGCUCUCUUUCUCUCGCUAUUUGACCAAUCAAAAUUAAUCAACAGGCAUAUUAAAGGCCUCGUGUCACAAAAUAAAUUGAAAGGAUCACCAGAUUUAAGAAUUCACUUAGUUCUGAUACGCAAUAUUGGAUAAAGCAUUUAGUAACCUAACCGAGAUAGGUCAACUGCUUACCUCCUCUUGUUCUUCUUUCUUCUCUUCACUUGCUUUUCUAAGGUUUUCAGCUUCUGACUAAUAAC